rnacentral:rRNA from 1 species
UACGGGGGGAGCAAGCGUUGUUCGGAUUUACUGGGCGUAAAGGGCGCGUAGGCGGUUCAUUAAGUCGGUUGUGAAAUCCCUGGGCUUAACCUGGGAACUGCAGUCGAUACUGGUGAACUAGAAUGCGGUAGAGGGUGGCGGAACUCCGGGUGUAGCGGUGAAAUGCGUAGAUAUCCGGAAGAACACCGAUGGCGAAGGCAACCACCUGGGCCUGCAUUGACGCUGAGGUACGAAAGCGUGGGGAGCAAACAGG